AUGAGAGUUAAAAUAGUGCCCCAACAGUUCAAUUGGAUUUGGAAUAGCUCAUGUCAUCCGAAGCACAAGGUGUUUUUUUGGAGAUUACUUCAUGACAAGCUCAAUUCUAGGAAUCUUCUUUGCAGGAAAAGUUUCCAUUUGGCAAGCUACAACUGUGCUGUCAACAAUUGUCCUCAGGAGGAAACCUUACAACAUCUCUUUUGGACCUGCCCGUUUGCAGCCCAGUGUUGGGAUAUAAUAUGCCCUUCCAGGCAAGCUCAUGUUUCUGUGCUUGAAGGUUUUGAGGAUCUCAGGCAGAAACUUCAUGUUCCAUUCUUCAUGGAAAUCAUCAUUCUAGCCUCUUGGGCCAUAUGGAUCUCAAGAAAUAAUCUGAUCUUUCAAGCCAUUCAGCCUUCCAUUCAGAGGUGGAAAGUCAUUUUCCUUGAUGAGCUUAACCUGCUAAGAUUUAGAGUGAAAAAGAGCUAUGCCAGAGCCUUCUGUACUUGGCUUGAUAACCUUGUACUGUAUUUUUUUGUUUUUCUUCUGUUAUUUCUUCUUUAUUCUUUUGGCUUACCUCAAGCCUCUAUACUGUUGGACCCUUGUUUUUUAAUAAUUAAUAUAAAAAUUGCAGUGGGGCUUUGCCCUACUGUGUAUAGUCAAAAAAAGUUGCUAUCUAUGAUGAUUAUUGUGAUGACUUGUAUGCUAUUAAGAAUAAUGAUAACCAUGAAACUUGUCCUCAUGAUUUUAGUUUUCAAUUGGAUUAUGCCUCACAUGAUAGUUAUUUUGUUGAGUUUGCUCCCACUACUAUUCAUGAGAAGAAUUUUGCUUAUGUGGAGAGUAGUAAAAUUUCUAUGCUUGUAG
rnacentral:rRNA from 1 species